AACGGCAGCCGGGUGACUGGUGGUAAUGCGGCCGGGUANUAAUGNCUGACGUUUCUUGGAUUGGGGGGCAACCUACGAAGUUACGCUAAUACCGCAUAUUCUGUGANCCGGAAANCANGGGUCGCAAUGACCUUGCGCUCUGGGGCGGGCCGAUGUCGGAUUACUGGGUGGGNGGGGGUAACGGGCUACCAAAGGCGCAGAACCGGCUACGGGUCUUCGACAAGCAUGNAUCGGCCCAACAUUGGGGACUUGCAGACAAAUCUCGGGCCCGCAANACAUUCCGCUUCACACANCAGUCGUAACUGGCNCAACAAACUUGGUGCGGAACAUCUCCUUGGGCCACAAACUAGGGGCGCGCAGGCCAACGGCCUUGUGGUCUCCUAANGCGCCUAUUGGUUCCGAUCCUUUAGCAGUUCGGACUGCAACNUGGCCCCUCUCCCCGGCUGCGUUUUACGUCCNACCGCANCUCUUCCGUCCGCGCGCCACCGCGGCGACCCUANACUACAGCCUCCCCGCCACUUUCGGGGCCCCCCAUACACCNUCUCCCCCCCCUCCCUNCGCGCUCGNCCACGCGCNCUCUCUACCGUCCCCCUCUUGCGC
rnacentral:rRNA from 1 species